GUUAAAAGAAAAGAAAAGGAGGGAGGGAGAGAGAGAGAGAUUCAUAUGCAGCUCUCCUGCGGAUGCGUUUAAUGCCGCACUGCAGAACAGACCAGGCUUGGGGGAGUGGGCUCGCACACCUGUCCACAGGGGUCAUCCCAGUGGGACACACACACACACACACACACACACACACACACACACCGUGCUUCUCGUCUCUGGUCCGAGAGUAAAGGGCACACAAGACCCGCUGCCCUGAGUUAAAGUCGUCGCUUUCAAAU